CACAUUGUGAAGCUGUAUGACAUCAGUUUAUCUUGAGAUAUGAUUACAACGAUUGGAAGGUACGAUAACAUAGCGUCAAGUAGAUGAUUUAGGAAUAUUCACUAGUAUCAGUACUUUUUUUUUUUUUGUUCUGUUGGACUGUCCUUCCUUCACUUUGAUGUUGUAUGUUGACUACCAUGUUAAACGCGCAGCUGAUGCAAACUUUACAGCCGGAAGGAGAAGAGUCGAAGCCAAAUAGGGAAUGAAGGCUUGUCUUAUGUGCUUCACUUCUACGGAGUAGAUGUCAUAAGCUGUCUUUUUGUGCAAUGUCUUGCUGAGAAGUGAAGCGACAUUAACCGACGCAUAAUGGAACGUUUUUUUUUUUUUUUGGGUAUAUAAUCAAGCUCUGGAAACUGAUCAAUAUAUCUUUUUGGGUAAAUAGUAUGUUUACAUGUAUAUGUUUUAAGCUGAUCCAUCUUUGCUUUUGAGAAAAUUCCUUAGUUAUGCAAACAUUUUAAGCUGUGGGAGCUUGAUCAG
rnacentral:lncRNA from 1 species